rnacentral:rRNA from 1 species
GACGAACGCUGGCGGCGUGCUUAACACAUGCAAGUCGUACGGUAAGGCCCUUUCGGGGGUACACGAGUGGCGAACGGGUGAGUAACACGUGAGUAACCUGCCCACAACUUUGGGAUAACGCUAGGAAACUGGUGCUAAUACUGGAUAUGUGCUCCUGCUGCAUGGUGGGGGUUGGAAAGCUCCGGCGGUUGUGGAUGGACUCGCGGCCUAUCAGCUUGUUGGUGGGGUAGUGGCCUACCAAGGCGGCGACGGGUAGCCGGCCUGAGAGGGUGACCGGCCACAUUGGGACUGAGAUACGGCCCAGACUCCUACGGGAGGCAGCAGUGGGGAAUAUUGCACAAUGGGCGCAAGCCAGAUGCAGCAACGCCGCGGGCGGGAUGACGGCCUUCGGGUUGUAAACCGCUUUCAGCAGGGACGAAGCUUUUUGUGACGGUACCUGCAGAAGAAGCACCGGCUAACUACGUG